GAGUUUGAUCUUGGCUCAGGAUGAACGCUAGCGGCAGGCCUAACACAUGCAAGUCGAGGGGUAGGUCAUUUCGGUGACUGAGACCGGCGCACGGGUGCGUAACACGUAUACAAUCUGCCCUUAACAGGGGAUAGCCCGGAGAAAUCCGGAUUAAUACCCCAUAAUAUUUUAACUGGCAUCAGUUGAAUUUGAAAGCUCCGGCGGUUAAGGAUGAGUAUGCGUCUGAUUAGCUAGUUGGUGAGGUAACGGCUCACCAAGGCGACGAUCAGUAGGGGAUCUGAGAGGACUACCCCCCACACGGAUACUGAGACACGGAUCCGACUCCUACGGGAGCAGCAGUAAGGAUAUUGGACAAUGCCCGCAAGGGUGAUCCAGCCAUGCCGCGUG
rnacentral:rRNA from 1 species